CGGUGGUCGUAGAGAAUUUUCUUUCAGUAAGCGGUUUAGGGCAGUCCAGUUCCGUUCAAGCGGGAUAAAGUGAAGCAGGUCAGUUUCCACAGCCAUAGCACAGUUUGUCGGGCGGUUUAUAGGGCAACUCCUUCUUUUGUUACUCUAAGGGUAAGUGGAUCAAAGUCAAUUCUAUCUUUUCGUUCGAAUGAUUGUCGAAAACCACCUCUCGUUUCUCCCGCUCUAGUGUCGGUCGUUAAUGCGUAGAUAAUAAUGGAGAGCCGUUUCUAUCUAUCGUUCUCUAUCUUCCGGUCUAGACAGCUUACAGAGUGUGAGCGAUCUCCGAUCCCCUCCACCCGGCUCUAAAAGCCGCCUUUCAUUCUAGCUUGACUCGUCUUUCGCUCCCAGCCUUUUUAGCUUUUUUUACAGGAUAACAGUUCUUAGGGUAAUGAAACCUGCUAGUCUUAGUGCAACCAUUAAGUCUCCCCUACUCGUGGAAGGUUUGAAGGAAGAAUGCGCAGUUAUAAAGGUAACUAUCAUCUCAGAUUCGAAGAGGGGAAGGGCCAUUUUGCCUAUUUCAACAGAAUCCGAUUCGAGAGCAGAUAGAGCAACUGUCCAAUCUCGCUCGGGUAAAUGAUAAAUGAUGGGCUCUUAGUGGGCAAUCCCCUGUUCUCUUUGCUGUUGCUUGAGAAUCCACAGAAGGGCUUAGACUAGACCUAGCAUCUCUCAGCUCAGAUUUGGCAUAUCCGGUCUUAGUAGCAAAUCCUUCCUCCGAAGAUGGACAGCAUCCGAUCUUUGACACAUCGUAUCCCGUAAUGGGCAAGGUAUCCCCAUAGUCAAAGCAGAGAGAAAGAGAAGAGUUAGAACGAAGAAGGAAUAGUUAGCAUUACCUCAGAUCCAUAUACAUAGUAAAAUAAGAGGGUAGACAGAGGUGCAACCUUAUUGGCUUAAGCCUCUGAUUUUGUCCAUCAAAGAGCUUAGUCUGGGCAUCAAUGCACCUCUCUGCACCUUAGCCUAACGUCGUCGCAGAUUCUGAUGCCUUUUCUUAUAUAUGCAACCUAAGCAGCUACUUCUAGGCAUCUACUAGUGUCCUCGGCACCUGCCAUAGCUUAUUUAAACAAAAGGAAUUGAUAGAGGAAGAUGAAUGUGCAAUGGAAUUGCAAUUGGAUGGUUGUACUGCUACUGCUUCCUU
rnacentral:lncRNA from 1 species